UACGUAGGGAGCAAGCGUUGUUCGGAGUUACUGGGCGUAAAGGGUGCGUAGGCGGCUUUUUAAGUUUGGUGUGAAAUCUCCCGGCUCAACUGGGAGGGUGCGCCGAAUACUGAGAGGCUAGAGUGUGGGAGAGGAAAGUGGAAUUCCUGGUGUAGCGGUGGAAUGCGUAGAUAUCAGGAGGAACACCGGUGGUGUAAACGGCUUUCUGGACCAUAACUGACGCUGAUGCACGAAAGCUAGGAGAGCAAACAGG
rnacentral:rRNA from 1 species